rnacentral:sRNA from 1 species
AAAUUUGACGCAUGUCAAAUCUGUACACGCCUCGCGUGCCCGCCCCCGGGCACCAUUGACGCCCGUCAAUUUUUUCCACUCCCGCAUUCGUUACCUUGCAUCCAUCGGACAACGGCAAACGAACGGGAGGCCGACAUGUUCUUCGACAACGUGGUUAUCGCCGGUGUGGUAACGGUCGGGUUGAUGUUGGUGUUCUUCGCCGGUCUGGGCAUUUUCAUCUGGAAGGACUCGAGCAAGCGCAAGUCGCGCUGAUCCUUCCCGAUUCACGAGCACGCAAGGCAUUUAGGGCGACUUCGGUCGCCCAUU